UCAAAAUCAACGGCUGAAAAUAAAAAUCUUACAAAAUGUAAUAAUAUGACAUUAAAAUUUUAAAUCAAAGAUAUUGAUCUUGUUUAUAUAGUAUAAAGAGUUUUCUAUCAAAAUUUCACGUGAUUUGAAUAUUUCUACACCGUUAAACUUGCAAACGGCUCACUACGGCCAUUGAAAUUUGUUGAUUUUGAGCCCAUUCGAUCACUAGGCAAAUGAUAUCGAAAAAUAAUAAAAUUUAUUUUUUAGGUACUUCAAAUACUCUAGAUCAAGUUUAACGGAGCCGAUCGACGAUUUGAAAGUCGCAACAUCGAAAACGAGCUGGAAGCACGGAAGGCUCCGUGCUUCCGAUAGUAUAGUAGCCUCACUCGUUUAAAUAUGUUAUAUGUAUAUAUAUAUAUAUUUAUAUAUAUAGAGUAGGGCUACUAUACUCUUAUGAGCAUUGGGCCAUUUGUACUCAUAAGUUGUUUUCGAUGAUAGGGCUUCCGAAUCGACGAUCCACUUAGUUAAAUAUGAUCUAGAGUAUUUGAAACUGUUAAAAAAUAAAUUUCGUAAUUUUUCGAAAUAAUAAUAAAGUCCAUCAAAUGGGCAUAAAAUGAACGGUCAAAAUCGAACGAUGUCCUAAAAAUGGAUGAUCGGAUCCUUCAAUUUAAGAUUGGAGUUAUUGAUCUUUAUCUAGGUAGUGAAUAGAAUUUUCUAUCAAAAAUUCUAACUUAUUCCAAUUCUUUUACAUCGUUAAACUAGCAAGUAUCCCAUACCGGCCGUUAAAAAUUGUCAAUUUUGUGACCUUUUAAUCGUAAGAUAAACGAUGUCGAAAAAUUAUAAAAUUUAAUCUAAACGUUUUAAAUGCUUUAGAUAACGUUUAACGGUGUGGAUCGUCAAUUAGGAAGCUCUAUCAUCGAAAACUACUUAUGAGCAUGAGGGCAAUCGUACUCAUAAGAGUAUAGUAGCCGGACUCUAUGGGCGUGUUUGGUUCGAAGUCGAAGUCGGAAUCGAAAUUGGAAUCAAAAUAAGCUGAAAUCGGAAUCGAAAUUGGAAUCAAAAUAAGCUAGAAUCGGAAUCGGAAUGACUCAUUACCUAAUUCUGUUUGGUUUAUCACCUGAAUCGGAGUCGGAAUAAAUCAUUCCUAUUAUCGGUGUUUGGUUCAGGUGGAUAUAAAAAACGUAAUUAAA
rnacentral:lncRNA from 1 species